rfam:Myotis lucifugus cont2.18586, whole genome shotgun sequence.
GGUGGUUCUCGGGUGAUGCACCCCAGAAUCAGGCUCCUGCCUCUCUGGUUCCGGGUCCGUCACCCAAGAACCGCA